UACAGAGACUGCAAGCGUUAUUCGGAUUCACUGGGCGUAAAGGGUGCGCAGGCGGCAAUGUGUGUGAGGCGUGAAAGCCCGGGGCUUAACCUCGGAAUUGCACCUCAAACUACAUUGCUAGAGCAUUGGAGAGGGUAGCAGAAUUCACGGUGUAGCAGUGAAAUGCGUAGAUAUCGUGAGGAAUACCAGAGGCGAAGGCGGCUACCUGGACAAUUGCUGACGCUCAGU
rnacentral:rRNA from 1 species